CAAAUCCAGCUUUUAAAUAUGAUCCUACUGCUGUAGGUAAUCUCAGUGCUGAACAGCUUGAAGAGUUUAAAGAAGCUUUCCUGUUGUUUGCCAGGACUCCAUCGGGGGAGAUGAAGAUUUCACUAGCUCAGUAUGGAGAUAUGUGAUGAGAGCUUUGGGUCAGAACCCAACCAAUGCUGAAGUUUUGAAAGUUCUU